GAUGAACGCUAGCGGCAGGCCUAAUACAUGCAAGUCAAGGGGUUCAGCAAUGGACACCGGCGGACGGGUGCGUAACGCGUACACAACGUGCCCAAGGGCGGGGGAAAGCGGCGGGAAACUGCCGGUAAUACCCCAUGGCAUCACAUUUUGGCAUCAUAAUGUGAUUAAAGUACAAGCGCCCUUGGAUCGGUGUGCGUUCGAUUAGCUAGUUGGCGGGGUAACGGCCCACCAAGGCUCCGAUCGAUAGGGGGUGUGAGAGCAUGGCCCCCCACACGGGUACUGAGACACGGACCCGACUCCUACGGGAGGCAGCAGUAAGGAAUAUUGGACAAUGGGCGGAAGCCUGAUCCAGCCAUGCCGCGUGAAGGACGAAGGCGCUCAGCGUUGUAAACUUCUUUUGGAUGGGAACAAUAACCGAGACUUGUCUUGGCUUGAGGGUACCAUCAGAAUAAGCACCGGCUAACUCCGUG
rnacentral:rRNA from 1 species